CAUUGAGUACUUCUAUAACAUAACAUAACAUAACAUAACAUAACAUAACAACAUAACAUAACAUAACAUAACAUAACAUAACAUAACAUAACAUAAACAUAACAUAACAUAACAUAACAUAUAACAUAACAUAACAUAACAUGACAUGACAUGACAUAACAUUAAAAAAAAAGGCAGAAGGAAUACAUUGCUGCUUGGUUUAAAAUUUUUUUUCCUUAUUAACAUAAAGUAGGAUUAGGAAUGUAUAGUGUGUCUGAUCACCUGAAAAAAGGAUUCCAAAUUUAGACCCUGCUAAAUGAGUUUAAAACCCUCUUAUUAAAUUAUCCUUUAUUUUAUUAUUGGACUUUACCGGUAACUGUCGUUUUAUGGCUGAAGUGUCCCCUGAUGAACUACUAUGUGGCCUUUUUACAGUACUUUCAGAAAAUCAUGCUCCAAACUUGCUUCCCUCAUUCUUGCAAGGCAACCUAUUGUUUUAAACAGGAUUACUCAUGCAAGGCAGAUUAAUUCACCUACAGGAAGAAAGCCGGUGGCGGGGGCCUCGUUUUAAGGAGUUCCCUACAGAGCAGAAGAGCACAUAAAGCUGCUCGAAGCGCUUAUAGCAAGAUCUGGGGAAAUUUGGAUUGUUCGGAUAAGAAUGGACAUCCUUAAUGAGGAUCCACCUCCAAUUCAAUUAGAAGCAGCAGUGACUCAAGCCUUGGCCUGAGCUGCCCAUGCUGGCAGGGUGAGAGGAACAGGGCUGUUCUCUUUAUGCCACCUUAACCUGACCCAGCAGGAAGAGUGGAAUGGUACAGAUGUGCAGGAGGUUUUGCUGCACAUUUCCUGCUUUUGACCUGUGCUGCUGGCCAAAAUGCAGGGUCUUGUUGGUUGAUCCAGAUGGGAGGACCUGUGACAAAGAAAAGUGUUUCUAAUCUGUUUCUGUUUGCUUACAAGAAUUCUCACAGCCCUUUUUUCCUGACCACAGAAGAACUCACACAUUGAGAGCCGGUUGCCUUGCUUAGAGCUCCAGACCUGCUCCAGGCAGCAAUGUGACCCCAAAUCCUUGUAUUCACUCCAGGUCUUAUAUCAAUGAUUGCUCAGGCUCUUUGAAGUUUCUGUUCUUUGCUUGUUUCCAUACCCUUUGUCUUUCUGUCUCUUCCUCCACCUGAACCAUAGCAUCCACACAUAACCUUCCUUCCUUUUAAUAUCCUACUCCAAACUGUCCUCCCAGAGCCUUCAGGUUCUUGAGCAAUCUUGUAUUGUGGGUGGCAAUAGACUUAAUGUCUCCUUCAGCUACCCUAAAUAAAGGAAUGCAGUUAAACCUACCAAUUUCAAGAAGGUUUAGCCCAGGCUCUAAAAAUAAAAGCCUAAUGGAGUGUUGCCCUGAGGUUUUCAUCUUAGUGAAGACCUCUCUAGAAAAUGCUGUGAAGUUCGUACAUAAUGGCAUAGAAAUAAUAGAAGUAGAAAUAAAAAUAGAAAUAAAUUCAGAAAACACAGAGUAUUUUGUAAAGGAUGUCAAUGGAUACAAAAGAGAUUUCCUUUCUCCACUAACAAGGGUAACACAUAAUAUUGCAGCUUUUAGUCCAAAUAUUCAGUUUUGGCCCAUAAAGUUAAGUCGCACUUCAUCUGAGUUGCUGAAAAGGAGAAGUAAAAAGCAGAACAGCCUCCCUUGGAAAUUGGGAUCAUAUUUCCUGUUCUGUGCGCCACCCUUAAUAAAGACUCAGGGUCUCACCUGGGUGGUCAGUGGUCCUGUUGGAAUAUACAGACAUGGUGUCUGCAGGUGUGUGAGGUAGCACAGAGUGGCCUUCAAGAAGGUCAAGAAACGAGGAUUUACCUAAAUGAUCUCGUGCCCACUGAAACUGAUGACAAAGCACCCAGUGCUUUUAAUAAAGGAUCAAACCUUCUGUGGUUUGUGGACCAGAUAUGGUUCUGAAACAUGUGGUUUGGCACAGGAUGCCUCUUGGCUCCAAAGCACUCAUUUCAGUCUGAUGAAUUCCCACCAGCACAGGUUAAAGAGCUGCUGCCAUCAAGGAGAAAAAGAAAUCAUGGGCUACCAGCUCUUGCAGAAGCUCAACAGAGAGACGCCAGUAAUUUGGAGAAAAGUUAUAGCCCCAGGUUAAUUCAUCCAGUCAAUUAUUUUUUAAUUGUAUGAACAAUCUGGUGUGGUGAGAGCAGAGCAGCUGCUGAGGUUUCCGCAUGGUUCAUCUAAAAUUGUGCUUGCAGUGAAAACCAGACUCCAGCGUUGAAUAGGAUAAGAAAAGGGUGUGGAGUUUGAAAUCUCUUCCAUGGCCAGACCUCCUCAGGAAAAUGGUGCAUUGCCUUGCAGAGAUAAUAAUACCUAGGGAUUGACAUGGCAAAAGCAGUUGAGAGAAUGAACCUGUGAUUGCAAGCAGAUUGCUUGCUCUGUGUUAUUAUAGAGCCAUUUUCCUUCAUCAACCUCAAAACACUUUGCAGAGGAGAUCACUUACCAGUGAUUAAUAGUUUAGCAUGUACAUAAUUCUUUUCUCCUUCACAGCACUUGUGUGUUGAUGCAUCUUCCUGCUCCUCUGAUAAAAUGUGUACAUUAAUGUUAUGAUUAUCCUUUUAAGUGGUGAAAUUUGAGCCCUGGGUUUAGGAGUGGGGUGGGGGAAUUCCUCCCUCCUCCUUUGGUCCCAUCUUGCUGGCCUUUGCUUGUAUCUGAUGUCAGUUGCAAAAGUACCUUAUUUUAUAAGUCUUUGAUCAGCCUGGUGGUUAGCUAAAUAUAUACCUGUGGGGAGAUAAUUACAUGCUAUCAGUAGUAAAGUGUACUAAAAUAAUGUACGUUAAUUAAAACACUUGCAAAACCAAAGCAGGAAUUUUCACAGAGAUAAAUCUGCUGCAGCAACAGCUGUAUCUGAGGCUGCUUCCCAGAGACAAACAUGAAAAUAGAACCAGGGACCAGUAAAACCCAGUUUCUUCAUGCUAAAAAGAGGAAAUACAUGUACCCACUGGGAAUGGCAUGGUGGUGUUAGUCCAGAAGGGCAGGGCGAUCUGCCUUCAUUAGUGGCAGAAGAUUGGUGUGAUAAAUUCCAUCUUAUCCAUGUGACUGUUUAGCUAAGUUUGAGUGGCCCAGCAGGGGGAUGUACAAAUGGGCCUCAUAUUUUCAGGGGAGGAUUUGGAGAUUAAUUAAAUGAUGUGGCAGAAGUUUAAAAUAAAUCACCUUAUUAAUAUCUUUGAAUCCACUGUCAGUCCCUCCAGCACAAUCCUUGUACUGCUCUCUUGCCACAUUUAUGUCUGAUGAAAAUAAAUGUGGAAAUUGUCUCUCUGACCUUCCUAGCUGAAGCAGCCAAUGUCUCUUCUCCCUCUCCUACCUUGUUUCUUGGAAGAAACUCAGUUGCUGACAUUGAGCCUUACUCAGACCAAAGACACUGGUGGCUUUGGGGCAUUAUUGCCUCCAAAGCCUUAUGUCACCUGUUGAUGUUUUCUGCAGAUCCCAGACCACAGCCAGUCUCAACCCAGCACAUCUUCCCAUUGAGAACUGGAAGGGUUUGUAUCCCAGGCUUUCUCUUCCUGAAAGCUGCAGUCACUUCACCCGGGACAGCAAGGAGACAUGAGGCUGAAGCAAGUGCCAAGGAGCAAAGGAGAGCAACUGUGCCAGUGAGACCUCAGGCUUGUACCAGUGGAAGAGGUGAGCAUCUUCUUGGAAGACACAAAGGCAUUGGAAGGUUUGUAGGGCUGCAGUGGGAGAGCCACAGCUCAGCCCCCACCAACCAGCUGUGUCUCAGCACAUAUAGCCCAGGCCUUCCAGUGUGGUACUUGCACAUCUGGAGGGUUAGACAAAAGCUCUUUCUCUAACCCAUACAUGCAGUUGCCAUUGGGUUCAUGACUGUGUUGAUCACUGGUGAAUGAGUUGGUGUUGCUCCAUCUAUCCCCCUCCAUGUGUUUGUUUACAUCAUUCCCUCCUGGCACAUAUCCCUGUAGUUUUGUUGUCAUACUUUCUCACAAAAGUGAUCCUUUGCAUUCUCUCCCCAACCUGCACCAGAUCAAAUUCUACCUUUUUCCUAGGUAGUGAAAGUGGCAUAACAGAUCUGUCUAAUCAGGUUUGCUCCAUGGCCAUGUUAUCCUAUAUGCUCCUAAAGCCAGGGUGAGAGGGAGAUUCCUCUCUAAAGAUCAGCUAUGAGUUGGGUGGGAUUUCAGCCAUGAGACACUGACAUUCAAGCAGGGCACGUGGGCACCCCCCUUCCCUCUGCUCUGCAGCGUGGACUGGGAGGGAUCACAGGGGACCAGGACAGGGGAGCCAAGCAGCAGCAGGAAGCAUUUUAAUGUAUUUCAUUUCAGGGUGACCUUUAACAGGUGUGGAUUUAUGGAUGGGGAGGGGAGAGGGAAGUAAACGAGGGAUUAGAGGGACUUUA
ensembl:lncRNA